GCCAAACGCAAAUACGCGGUAUAAGAUGCACAUCAUCUUGGGAAGGGAAUCCUCGAUCGCCUCCUCAGAAAAAAGAAAGCCCUAAGCUGAGAAACCCCACUGUUUGAAUUUCCUCUCUUCAUUCCUUUCACAAUCUUCUCUAUUCUGCGCCGCUAAAAUCCCCAAUGUUAUUAUUUUUUUUUAUUUGUUAAUAUUUAUCUCUCCAAAACCUAAUUCUUCCCAUCUCUCUCUCCUUCUAAAUUACGGCUUUAGAUCACUUUCUUCUAUAUUCUCCCAGCAUAGAUCUUUUGGUUCUCUUCCACUUCAGGUCUACUCACCAGUUUCCUCUUUAAGAAGAUUGCGCUUUUGCUACAUAUUCAAUGGCUACUGGUGUGGAUAUGUCUCUUGAUGACAUAAUAAAAAAGAACAGAGAGAGAGGUAGAGGGCGUGGUAGGCCCCGACGUGGCCGUGGCCGUGGCCCAGGUGGGCCCCUCAAUGGUGGAAGAAUGGCAGGAGCAUUUCCUAAAGCUCCUCUUUCAUUGACUGCUCGGCCAUCACAAUACACAAUUGCCAAGGCAAGCUCAAAACUGUGGAUUUUAUAUGCAUAUGUCUGAGUAUCUGAUAUGCUUAAGAAAUCCAACUGCAAGAGGAUCUCUAAUUAUGAUUUAGAAAAAAAACAAACGCAGUGGAUCUUUUAUGUAAUUUAGUUCUCAUUCAUGGAGAAGCUCAUUUUGGCCUCAGCCAACAAAGCAUUGUGGCUGUUACAAUUUUAUCACUAUCCUCAGGGAUUUUCUAGUACUUGUUGGUUAUUUCGACCAUAUAUUGGGGAUUUGCUGCAGAUUUGAUCUCAUAAAGUAUAUGCAGAAGCUUUUUUGGGGUCUGCACCAAGUUGUUAUUGCUAAUUGUUAGCAUAGCAUACCUAGGGGCUUCAUUAAUUGAGUAUUCUGGAGUGGAUCUCUCACCAGUAGCAUAACAUCAGUUCACUAUUAGAUUCCCAUAUAAUCCGUGUUAUAUAGUUGUAGUGUUCGAUGUACUUCUUAUUUAGACGGCGAGUUUGUGAUGGAUCCUCUUGCUCCGUGGAAUUUCUUCAAUGCGAGAUCCCAGUUCCUCUCCUAGUUCAUGGUGUUUUCGCACAGGAGCUUCCUUCGCUUAACUUCAGAACUGGAGUUCUCACAUAUACCAUAUCACCAGUUUACAUAUGCAGUGGGUUGAAUUCUUUACUUCCAUCUAUCAUCAGUUAGCUCAAUUUCCCGAAGUUUGGCUACAUGGUUGCUUGAGAUUUUUUCUAAUCUGCAGUUUCUUUAAUCUUAUCGGAAUUUUUCUGAGAUUGAUAUUGAAGAAUGGUGAUCUUGUUAUAUUGGUCAUAAGCUGACGCAUUCUAUUUGCUUUCAUCAGCCUCCUCGCAGAAUCAGGAGUUUGCCUUGGCAGCAUGAUUUGCUUGAAGAUAGCAUAAGAGCUGCAGGGAUAACUGGAGUAGAAGUUGGUACCAAGUUAUAUGUUUCAAACUUGGAUUAUGGAGUGUCCAAUGAAGAUAUAAGGGUACAACUUAAAGCUAAAUGUUUUCAUCUUAGAUGCUAUGUGCAAUGGAUUUCUAAAACACAUUUUCCUCAAAUUCAGGAGCUCUUCUCUGAGAUUGGGGAUCUGAAACGAUAUGCUGUUCAUUAUGACAAGAAUGGUCGCCCUAGUGGUUCAGCUGAAGUAUUGUAUACAAGGAGAAGUGAUGCCUUUUCAGCUCUUAAGAAGUAUAACAAUGUACUUUUAGAUGGAAAGCCCAUGAAGAUUGAAAUCGUGGGUGCCAGUGCAGAAAUACCUAUCUCAGCUAGAGUCAAUGUGACUGGAGUAGAUGGAAGGAGGAAGAGGACAGUUGUUAUGACGUAAGUAAUUUGUUUUAUAUCUUUUUCCAUUUAUAUUUUAAUUGACACAAAUGAUUGAAAUGAUAAGGCAAAUUUAAUGCUGUUGCUUCUUGUUGGGAAUUCUACUGGCCGACUGUCAAAUGUUGUAUUCACUUUUGUAGGUGGCUAUGAAAUAUGAUGCAACUUAACGGGAAUUAAGCUGGCCUCUAUUUCUGUGUAAAAUUCAUUUAAAUUAACUCAUAUGAUAUGAUUUUAAUCAGUAUCGCUUGUAGUGCAUUUGGUUGCUAUGUUUUAUGCUUGAGUCACAGUUCUAAUAAUGCGAAUAACAGUGUGGGAAGUGUAUCCUUGUCAAAACAUUGAAAGCUUAUAACUGAAAUAUGUUCAAUGGAUUCAUUUAGGGAAAUUCCAUUGACACUUUGCAAUAUUAUUAUGCAGGCCUGGACCAGGUCGAGUGAGAGGCGCUGCUCCUCCAAGUAACCGUGGUUCUGGGUAAGGCUUAGAUGUGUUUAUGAUCAAUGAUUGAAGUGUCAUGUUUUAUUAGCCUUGUUGAAUGCUUUGCACUAGCUGGUAUGAAAUAUUUGACUGAUAAUAUUGCAUAGUUGUGAUCUUGAUUAUGUGCUGCUGGAUCUAUGUGCAGUCAGAACCGUCGUGGGGGUUUGAGAAAUGGUCGAGGUCGUGCUCGUGGGCGGGGCCGUGGCCGUGGCCGUGGGAAGAAGCAACCUUUUGAUAAGUCAGCAGAUGACCUCGACAAGGAAUUGGAGAGCUAUCAUGCUGAAGCCAUGCAAACUUAGUGGACUCUGAAGCUGUGCGAAGCAAAAAUACUUUAGUAUCAGUCAUAUUUGUAGUAUUUUCUGACGGUGAUAGCUUGUCUCUGGUUUGCUUAGUGCUUUUAACUUUACAACUUCAAUCUGCAUGCUUUAUUGUAAAUGAAGAUGAUUGGUGGUUUUCAGAUCGGGGUUUUAUCAUCUCUAUUAAUUUUGCUUUUUUUCAUGCUUGUUUGUGGUCGAUCCAUAUAGGCUAGUAAACCUGUGCUCUGCAAUAGUAGCUGAUAUAAUCAUGUCUCUCUGAUUAGUAUCACGAUUUUGACUUAAUGUGCGAAUUAUAAGAUAAGCGAAUUAUAAGAUAAAAUAGAGUAAAUGCAGGUCUUGCUAUGUAGAAGGAAUAAAAAGAAGGAUUUUCAUAAUGGAUCGUUCUUCGAAAUUUCGUUGGUGGAUGCUUUGAUGUGCAAGAUGCAUUUAUUUGUGGG
rnacentral:misc_RNA from 1 species